AGAGUUUGAUCAUGGCUCAGGAUGAACGCUAGCGGCAGGCUUAACACAUGCAAGUCGAGGGGCAGCACGAUGUAGCAAUACAUUGGUGGCGACCGGCGCACGGGUGCGUAACACGUAUGGAAUCUGCCUUGUACUGGGAGAUAGCCCGGAGAAAUCCGGAUUAAUAUCCCAUAACAGCUUGAGUGGCAUCACUCGGGUUUGAAAGCUCCGGCGGUACAAGAUGACCAUGCGCACGAUUAGCUAGUUGGUGAGGUAACGGCUCACCAAGGCUACGAUCGUUAGGGGGCCUGAGAGGGUUAUCCCCCACACUGGUACUGAGACACGGACCAGACUCCUACGGGAGGCAGCAGUGAGGAAUAUUGCGCAAUGGAGGCAACUCUGACGCAGCCAUGCCGCGUGCAGGAAGAAGGCGCUACGCGUUGUAAACUGCUUUUAACCGGGAAGAAACCCCAGGACGUGUCCUGGGUUGACGGUACCGGAGGAAUAAGCACCGGCUAACUUCGUGCCAGCAGCCGCGGUAAUACGAAGGGUGCAAGCGUUAUCCGGAUUCAUUGGGUUUAAAGGGUGCGUAGGUGGGGCGAUAAGUCAGUGGUGAAAUCCUGCGGCUUAACCGUAGAAUUGCCAUUGAUACUGUCGCUCUUGAGUACGCUUGACGUGGGCGGAAUGUGCCGUGUAGCGGUGAAAUGCUUAGAUAUGGCACAGAACACCGAUAGUGAAGACAGCUCACGAAGGCGAAACUGACACUGAGGCACGAAAGCGUGGGGAUCGAACAGGAUUAGAUACCCUAGUAGUCC
rnacentral:rRNA from 1 species